GUGAAUGACAUCAAGGAAACAGGAUCAAAAAGAUCAUUCAUUAUAGAAUGUUUCAUAGGUCCUCCUGAUCAUUCUGUUCUCCUGGUUGUGAGGAUGUGCAGAGGCUGUAUUUGUCAGUGUUAAAAGAGUUGUGCAGCUGUAUCCAGACAUACAAGCAGCUGACAAAGAGUUCUGGAGCAGGACAGACCGUUGGCCUAUAUUCUGUUUUUCUAUGUU